rnacentral:rRNA from 1 species
UACGUAGGGUGCGAGCGUUAAUCGGAAUUACUGGGCGUAAAGCGUGCGCAGGCGGUUGGUUAAGUCUGAUGUGAAAGCCCCGGGCUCAACCUGGGAAUGGCAUUGGAAACUGUCCAGCUGGAGUGUGGCAGAGGGGGGUGGAAUUCCGCGUGUAGCAGUGAAAUGCGUAGAGAUGUGGAGGAACACCGAUGGCGAAGGCAGCCUCCUGGGCCAGCACUGACGCUCAUGCACGAAAGCGUGGGGAGCAAACAGG